GAUGAACGCUGGCGGCGUGCCUAAUACAUGCAAGUCGAGCGAACAGACGAGGAGCUUGCUCCUCUGACGUUAGCGGCGGACGGGUGAGUAACACGUGGAUAACCUACCUAUAAGACUGGGAUAACUUCGGGAAACCGGAGCUAAUACCGGAUAAUAUAUUGAACCGCAUGGUUCAAUAGUGAAAGACGGUUUUGCUGUCACGUAUAGAUGGAUCCGCGCCGCAUUAGCUAGUUGGUAAGGUAACGGCUUACCAAGGCAACGAUGCGUAGCCGACCUGAGAGGGUGAUCGCCCACACUGGAACUGCGACACGGUCCAGACUCCUACGGGAGGCAGCAGUAGGGAAUCUUCCGCAAUGGGCGAAAGCCUGACGGAGCAACGCCGCGUGAGUGAUGAAGGUCUUCGGAUCGUAAAACUCUGUUAUUAGGGAAGAACAAAUGUGUAAGUAACUCUGCACGUCUUGACGGUACCUAAUCAGAAAGCCACGGCUAACUACGUG
rnacentral:rRNA from 1 species